AGAGUUUGAUCCUGGCUCAGAUUGAACGCUGGAGGCGUGCUUAACACAUGCAAGUCGUGCGAGAAAGGGACUUCGGUCCUGAGUAGAGCGGCGCACGGGUGAGUAACGCGUGGGUGAUCUCCCUUGGUGAUCGGGAUAACAGCGGGAAACUGCUGCUAAUACCGGAUAAUCUUCAUGUUUAACUUCAUGGGGUAAAGGUG
rnacentral:rRNA from 1 species